rnacentral:rRNA from 1 species
AUGGUAGAUGCAAGAAAUUGUAAAUUCUCAGGAUUUUGUGCUUUCUUCUCAUGGUGGCCUUCUUACUCUUUGCAUCUGAGAUGAAAAGGAAUCUAAGAUUGAGAAGGAACUGCCAAUUUAAUUGGUUGAUGAUUGAUGGGUAGAUCGUCGUAGAGGACGACGGGGUCGACGAAAAGAAGAAACGAGGAGAAGGUUGUUCCAGCGUAUCCGGAGAAAGGAAUUCAUCAGAGUUCUUCGUCGAGGCUCUCGGCAUAGGCGUGCUGAUAACGUGUGAAAGUAAAACGAGAGAGGCAGGAGCAAAUGAUGGAUGAUGAAGUUUGGGGUAUAUGUACCCGGAUACAAAGGCGGUUACAAAGAGCGGUUGCCAAUAGUGAAACCGACAUAAGCAGGGAUUAACCCUUUAAUUAAACUAAUUAAUUAAUUCCUAUCAGAGACCUCCUGCAAACCUCCUCCCGUGCGUACCCGAUCGCAUCUGCUGACACCUGUACGUUCCCAACAUCCGACGGUAUCCCUCGUCCCACUCGCUCCACGCAUUCCCUCGGCUCGCGCGCUGACUCUCGGCUCCAGAUGAGUCGGCUCAGGCGCGCUCCUUUCCCUUCUCCCAGUCGCUCGCUCCGUUCGUCCGCCACCGCCGCAAUCGCCUCCGCGGCCCGCCACCGCCGGCUCCCUCGUCCGCUUCCACAGUUGGAACUUUCGCACCUCCAUUCGCUACCGCGGUCACCUCUUCUGCCCCGCCCCCUCGUCUGCCACGGGGUAGUGACAGCGGCCGCCGGCCACACGACGCAGAUGCGGCUUCAGUUCCUUGUCCCUUUGGUUUGCCCACUGAUUCUUUUCGAGAUUCAUUUGGGUGCUAUGCAGUUGAUCUGUCCAUUGCUGGGUUUGGUUUGUUGAUUUGUAUUUCGGUUCAACUUCUAUUGUUCUUGCUGAUGAACUGCUGUUGUUAUAUAGUGUUGCGUCAGGAGACAAGCACUGCCCUGACCCGGUUGUAGGUAAGCAUUGGAUAGGUAACACAUUUUUGUAGGUGAUAAUGAACAUAUACAUGUGAGGAACUUCCUGUGCUUCCAAUACUAAGCAACAAAUCAGCAUACAGGUAGUUGGUGUAGUUGAAUUGGGCCUUCAGGAAAUACUGCAUUUGUAACUGUAUCAUAAAUAAAAAGAGAGCUAUUAUAGAUUCAUUUUCAGAUACCCAUGAAGUAUCGUUAAAAUACAUUUUGUUGAGUUCUUUAAAGAGGAACCUUUGUAUAGAAUUUACAAGAUUACAGUUUGCAUUGACAAGUCGCAUGUUGGUUCGAUGGUUUACAUGGAUAAGGGGAAAUAUUAG